rnacentral:rRNA from 1 species
UACGAAGGGGGCUAGCGUUGUUCGGAAUUACUGGGCGUAAAGCGCACGUAGGCGGCUUCUUAAGUCGGUGGUGAAAUCCUGGAGCUCAACUCCAGAACUGCCUUCGAUACUGGGGAGCUCGAGUCCGGGAGAGGUGAGUGGAACUGCGAGUGUAGAGGUGAAAUUCGUAGAUAUUCGCAAGAACACCAGUGGCGAAGGCGGCUCACUGGCCCGGUACUGACGCUGAGGUGCGAAAGCGUGGGGAGCAAACAGG